rnacentral:rRNA from 1 species
UACGUAGGGGGCAAGCGUUGUCCGGAUUUAUUGGGCGUAAAGAGCGUGUAGGCGGCCACGCAGGUCCGCUGUGAAAACUCGAGGCUCAACCUCGAGAUGUCGGUGGAAACUAUCUGGCUAGAGUCCGGAAGAGGAGAAUGGAAUUCCUGGUGUAGCGGUGAAAAUGCGCAGAUAUCAGGAAGAACACCCGUGGCGAAGGCGGUUCUCUGGGACGGUACUGACGCUGAGACGCGAAAAGCGUGGGGGAGCGAACAGG